rnacentral:rRNA from 1 species
UACCUGCAGCUCUAGUGGUGGCCGCUAUUAUUGGGCCUAAAACGUCCGUAGCCUGUUUAUUAAAUGCCUAGGUAAAUUGUGUGGCUUAACCAUACGAAUUCUGGGUAGACUGGUAAACUUGAGACCGGGAGAAGCUAGAGGUACUUCUGGGGUAGAGGUGAAAUUCUGUAAUCCUAGGGGGACCACCAGUGGCGAAAGCGUCUAGCUAGAACGGGUUUGACGGUGAGGGACGAAGCCCUGGGGCGCAAACGGGAUUAGAUACCCCGGUAGUCCAGGGUGUAAACGCUGCUUGCUUGAUGUUGGUUGGGCUCCGAGCCCAAUCAGUGUCGGAGAGAAGUUGUUAAGCAAGCUGCCUGGGAAUUACGGUCGCAAGACUGAAACUUAAAGGAAUUGGCGGGGAGCACCACAAGGCGUGAAGCUUGCGGUUC